ACAUUUGGUGAAGACUGUUGAAGCCACCUGGUCCCAGCAGACCCCAGAAGGCAGCCACAUUCGCUGGUGCCCAAACAAGGUCCUUAAGGGUAAAGCCUGGUGUCAGAUGUG
rnacentral:rRNA from 1 species